AUGAACGCUGGCGGCGUGCCUAAUACCUGCAAGUCGAGCGAACGGACGAGAAGCUUGCUUCUCUGAUGUUAGCGGCGGACGGGUGAGUAACACGUGGAUAACCUACCUAUAAGACUGGGAUAACUUCGGGAAACCGGAGCUAAUACCGGAUGAUAUUUUGAACCGCAUGGUUCAAAAGUGAAAGACGGUCUUGCUGUCACUUAUAGAUGGAUCCGCGCUGCAUUAGCUAGUUGGUAAGGUAACGGCUUACCAAGGCAACGAUGCAUAGCCGACCUGAGAGGGUGAUCGGCCACACUGGAACUGAGACACGGUCCAGACUCCUACGGGAGGCAGCAGUAGGGAAUCUUCCGCAAUGGGCGAAAGCCUGACGGAGCAACGCCGCGUGAGUGAUGAAGGUCUUCGGAUCGUAAAACCCUGUUAUUAGGGAAGAACAUAUGUGUAAGUAACUGUGCACAUCUUGACGGUACCUAAUCAGAAAGCCACGGCUAACUACGUG
rnacentral:rRNA from 1 species